rnacentral:rRNA from 1 species
AACGAACGCUGGCGGCAUGCCUAACACAUGCAAGUCGAACGAGACCUUCGGGUCUAGUGGCGCACGGGUGCGUAACGCGUGGGAACCUGCCCUUAGGUUCGGAAUAACUCCCCGAAAGGGGUGCUAAUACCGGCUAAUGUCCUCGGACCAAAGAUUUAUCGCCUUUGGAUGGGCCCGCGUUGGAUUAGCUAGUUGGUAGGGUAAAAGCCUACCAAGGCGACGAUCCAUAGCUGGUCUGAGAGGAUGAUCAGCCACACUGGGACUGAGACACGGCCCAGACUCCUACGGGAGGCAGCAGUGGGGAAUAUUGGACAAUGGGCGAAAGCCUGAUCCAGCAAUGCCGCGUGAGUGAUGAAGGCCUUAGGGUUGUAAAGCUCUUUUACCCGGGAUGAUAAUGACAGUACCGGGAGAAUAAGCUCCGGCUAACUCCGUG